rnacentral:tRNA from 1 species
GGGGUUAUAGCUCAGCUGGGAGAGCGCAACACUGGCAGUGUUGAGGUCAGCGGUUCGAUCCCGCUUAGCUCCACCA